rnacentral:rRNA from 1 species
GCGUCUUAAGCAUGCAAGUCAAACGGGAUGUAGCAAUACAUCUAGUGGCGAACGGGUGAGUAACGCGUGGAUGAUCUACCUACGAGAUGGGGAUAACUAUUAGAAAUAGUAGCUAAUACCGAAUAAGGUCAAUUAAUUUGUUAAUUGAUGAAAGGAAGCCUUUAAAGCUUCGCUUGUAGAUGAGUCUGCGUCUUAUUAGUUAGUUGGUAGGGUAAAUGCCUACCAAGGCGAUGAUAAGUAACCGGCCUGAGAGGGUGAACGGUCACACUGGAACUGAGAUACGGUCCAGACUCCUACGGGAGGCAGCAGCUAAGAAUCUUCCGCAAUGGGCGAAAGCCUGACGGAGCGACACUGCGUGAAUGAAGAAGGUCGAAAGAUUGUAAAAUUCUUUUAUAAAUGAGGAAUAAGCUUUGUAGGAAAUGACGAAGUGAUGACGUUAAUUUAUGAAUAAGCCCCGGCUAAUUACGUGCCAGCAGCCGCGGUAAUACGUAAGGGGCGAGCGUUGUUCGGGAUUAUUGGGCGUAAAGGGUGAGUAGGCGGAUAUAUAAGUCUAUGCAUAAAAUACCACAGCUCAACUGUGGAACUAUGUUGGAAACUAUAUAUCUAGAGUCUGAUAGAGGAAGUUAGAAUUUCUGGUGUAAGGGUGGAAUCUGUUGAUAUCAGAAAGAAUACCGGAGGCGAAGGCGAACUUCUGGGUCAAGACUGACGCUGAGUCACGAAAGCGUAGGGAGCAAACAGGAUUAGAUACCCUGGUAGUCUACGCUGUAAACGAUGCACACUUGGUGUUAACUAAAAGUUAGUACCGAAGCUAACGUG